AGGUGUCGUCUCUAUCUUCUUCGCGUCGAUCUCUCUCUGCUUGGAUAUUUUUUUCCAGAUCUCUCCCGUGUCAAUCUUUGAGAUCUGAAUAUCUCCUGAAGGGAAGGAUGUACGGAUUCGAGGCGCCACCAUGCUGGUCUUCUUACAACGGCGGAUUACAACAAUCUGUGCCAAUGUGAAAACCUAGACGACAUCAAAAUGCACCUCUCCGCCACCAAAUACGGCUCUUACCUCCAGAACGAACCGUCUGCAUACCACCACAAUCGUGGAGAAGUGUACGCUCAAGCUUGUGGAUGAUUACAAGCAUAUGCUUUGCCAAGCUACUGAGCCUAUGUCCACCUUCUUAGAGUACAUCAGGUGAGAGUCAUUCUUGAUCAACAGAUUAUGGUGCUUCAGUGUUGUUAUUGCCCUUUUCAGUUUCUAGUAGUAAGCGUAGUAGUUUCGUUCAUAUUUAGCUUUGCGUAAAAUCCUCUCGAUGUGCAUCAUAGUGUGUAAGGUUUGGUACUUUCGUGAAGCUCCUUUUUUUAUAGAGAUCGCAGUGAAAUUGUUUUGUUAAGAGUAAACAUUAGAAUCGGUAACAAUUCACGCAAUUUUAAUAUUUGUUCCUUAUCUUACGAAAACACAUAUAUGAAGUUCAAAUAUUUAGAAAUGCGGCAGAAAUUGAUGCGCUAAUAACAUGUAUUGUGUUUUGUUAUUGACUGGGUAAGAAAAGGAAAUGAAAUACGCGUGAUUGGGAACUUUUGUUCAACUCGGGCUUGUAAUCGAAUCUGAAUCCCCGUUAAUCUGGAUGAAUAAAAUUUCAAUUUCAAAAAAAAAAAAAAAAAAAAAAAAAAAAAAAAAAAAAAACGCGUGAUUCAUUAUCUCAUUAAAUGAAAUUCUAUAAUUGUGGGAGAGAUAAAUUAGGGUAAAAUACCAUACUAACUCACGAAGUUUGAUAUGAUAACAAUUUUGUAUUCACACACGCGGUUUGAUGUACACACGUUAUAAACCAUAUACCAUAGAAAAAAUGAUUAAUGUCAAUGGAAAUAAAAAAACCAUACACCAUAGAAAAAAUGAUUAAUGUCAAUGGAAAUAAAAAAACCCAUAUACCAUAGACCGGGUAGGAAAAGGAAUAUUUUUAAAUUUUCAAAAUCUAAAAAUAAAAAUAAUAUUUAACAUAUAAAUUUAAUAAUGUAUGCCAAAAAUAAUUAAACUUAACAUAAAAAUUGGUUUAUAUUAAAUAUUUGGAUAGAAAAUCAAUAGAUAUUUUAAGUAUUUUUGGUAUUUUAAGUAUCGUUUAGCUAUUUUAAACAUGUACUAUUAACUAUUUGCAUAUAUUUCAAAGUAUUUUUAACAACUUAAAAACAUCUUAUAUUUUUGUAUAUUCUUUUAGAUAUUAAAUUUAAAAAUAAUUAAUAUAUUUAAGCAUAUAAAUCUGGUUCGAAUAUACUUGGAUAUCUGAAAUAUUUUUGUUGGAUCAGAUUCGGUUCCAGUUCUUAAAUUUUGAAUCCGUUCGGAUAUCUAAUCAAUUUUGGUUAAAGUUCAGUACUACUUUUUCAGAUUAAAUUUGGUUAGACUUUUUGGAUUCGGAUUUUCUCAACCCUAUAUUUUUUAUUGUAACAAUUUUUAAACGAAAGUGAUGAUAGUUCAUAUUUAUUUAGGAUAUGCCUCAAUUUUUAAACAAAAACACAUUCUACUAUAUAUAUGUGGUCUAUUUAGUUAAUCAUUAAAAAUGGUUCUAAACCCAUUUAAGGAAAACGUUGGGCUGGACUAAAAAACGUUACUAUUUCAGAUUGUAAAAAUUGGCACUUUCAAUUUAUUCUAUGUUGGUGUUGUGGCGAAGAAAAAGGGGAAUAGGGUUAGGAAAUAAAUUAUGUUGUGAAAUCCAUGUUCUCGCUAGGUAAUUUUAAACGGUUCUAAAUAAAUAUUUGAAACAAUCUACAUUAUAAUAGGGCAAUUGCAUCACUCCUGAUGCGACACGUCAGCGAUAUGUGGGUCCCAUUUUUAAUGGGUGUGAAAAAGUGUCAAGCCUGUGACCCGAACCCGGGUUAUUGAGAUCUAAACAACAACAUUUAUACCACUGAGGUAAAGGAUUCUUUGUACAUUGAUGGCUGAAACAAAUAUAUAUUUAUGAAGGUCGGAAACCUUUGCUUCUUCGGUUUUCUCUGUGGGACCCACACUUAUUUAUUUUAUCUAAUGAUUUAAUAAAUACUUUAUAACUCACGUUUUGAAAUGAGAUUCGUUAAAAAAAAGCCCAAUAAACCUCUUUGGUGUGUAAGCGUUCUCUUCAAUGGAAGUUUAGGGCUUUCAAUUUUUAAUCAUCGGUUCAUGACUCAUCUAAGAAACACAGAUUGACUCUUUGGUUUCAUGAAUCAGUUUUUCUUCUUUAGUCUCUAUCUCUCUCCAUCUUUAAUAAAUUCAUCAUCAGUUCUUUUAUUUUGCCUGAUAAAUCAUGAUUGUGUGGUUUUAAUUUUCUUUGGUCAUCCUUAGCUUGCACCCUUAGAUCUAACCAAGAAGAAGAAGAAGACAUUUGUCGUUUAGGAUGCCAUCGAGGACUCAGCUGAGUCACACGGGAGACAUACUAUCUGUUGCCUGAUUGUUCAAGAAGAGUUUAUGUGCUGUGAAACAUAUUUGUUUCCUUUCAUCAGUUGCUUUGUUUAAUCUUUUUUCCUGCAAAUAAUGAUGGCUUUGACAGUUCAUUCACGGGAGCCAAGAAGUAAAAGACGAAGAAGCCAAUGAGUGUUUGACAUUUUCUGUCUUCCUGAGUUUUUUUUUCCAUUCAUUAAACUUUGAUUUUGAAGAUUAUGUGCCUCACAUUGUUAUUAUUUUGAUGGUUGUUAGGUUGAAUGAAGAUCAUUGAAUAAAGAAAAUGUCGAUGCUCCUGAAGAUUUAGAGGAGCAUCCUAAUGAUGAGGAAGAGGUGGAGGGAAUUGAUCUGCACCAUCAAUGUUACAUGUGGGAGGGAAAUGACAUGGAUUACUUAUACGAUGAGGUAAGCAUAUCAUUAGAUGGUUUGGGGUCCAUCUUUGAGAGCCGUCGAUUGUAAGUGUCUAUCGUUUUGAAGUUGUACGACACUAAGAUGUAAAGAAUUACUAAUCACGAUUACCGUACUAGCAGAGUUCUUUUGCACAGCUAUUGUCAAUGGAAUUAUCACUGAAAAUUGAUGGUGUUAUAUUUCAUGUUCCAAAUGCUAACGCAAGCUCUAAUGUUGACUCUCAGCUUUAACAUGCCAAAAUCACAAUGCAGUGGGUGUUGUAGGGUAAUUCAGUAGGCACAAAUAUUCACUUGAAAAAAUUUUUAAACUGUAUUUAUGCAUCAAACUUAUCAUCCGUAACAUAAUAAUAUGUUUUUUAUGUGCUAGGAACCGUUUGUAAAUACAUGUCUCGGAUGUAUAUGACUGCUUAGUUUGUUGCUUUUGACAGUGAAAUCACUAAGCUUGCAAUGUGUCAAGACAACAAAAGCAUCUCAACUGAUGAAUUGCAGAUUGUGAAUGAAAGGUACAAGCAGGAAAUAUAUGUGUAGCUGCGUUCGACUCGACAUGUAGCGGUAAUCUGCAGAUCCAUUGAUUCCAUUGCGGAGGUUAACAUGCAAUGUGUUGACCUGGAAAUUAUUAUUUGGAAGCUACAUUUCGAGGUUAGACGUCAACUUGUUCCUUGGCACAAGCUAAUUUGGUUUAAGCAAGGUGUACCACGGUUUGCGUUUAUCACCUGGUUAGCGGUUAAAGAUAGGUUAUCUACGGGAGUUAAAAUGCGUGCCUGGGGUCAGAUUCAGGGUUGUCUAUUUUGUGGCGAGCAUGAAGAGACUAGAGAUCAUCUAUUUUUGCGUGCCCCUAUAUCUACACUCUUUGGUUACAAGUAUUAGCCACGCUACUGCAGCCCGCUCCAUCCCCAGAUUGGGAUGAGAAUGUUCAAACAUUUUGACAGGCUCUCAUGGCCUGUGAAUCUCUAUACUCUUGAGACUGUCAUUCCAAGUUUUAAUAUACUACAUAUGUCGUGAAAGGAAUGAGAGAAGACACUCUCAGUAAUCCCGGCAAGAGGGUCAACUUGUAAUGAUCAUUGACAAAACUAUAAGGCAAAGAAUCAUGUCUACUAGAUAUGCAGAGAAGCCGAAGUUGCAGGGUCUACUCUAGUCUUGGUUUGGAGCUCAUACUGAGCAUAGUUAGGAGGCAGUUUUUAGCUUUAUCUCUCAUUAUUCUUUGGAUGUACGUAAAUAUUAUUUUUUCUAAAUGAUCAAUAAAUUUAAUAUUUCAUUAAAAACAAAAUUGUAUGAUUACAAAAUAUGAGAGUUAAAACGACAAAUAUUUAAAAGUUGAAGAUUUUUUGGCUUAAACACAAAUUAGAGGCUUUUUUACUUUAAUUUGAAAGUGUAGGGUUUUAAUAGAUUUUUUCUCUUUUGAAAUCUCAUUGGAGUUGACCGUAUUUUAUUUUCCUGUACUGAAAU